GUCUGUGCCAUCAAACCAGGAGAAACGUUACUGGUGAAUGCAGCCGCAGGAGCAGUGGGCUCUGUAGCAGGUUUAGAAGGACACAGCGGAUUACAGAAUGUGUGGAAACGCAAACGCCAAGGUAAGUGUUUUUACUUAGUACUUUAUAUUGUUGUGUGAAAAGCCGUGGUAAAAUGAAUGUAUGUGAAAGUACACGCACUAAAAAGACGCGCAUGCCAAUCAUUAGAGAGGCGCGAGGUGAGGCACAUGUUUAGUAAACGUGAGCAAUAACAAAUGAAUGUGUGUGUAGUUUACGUCUUUGAAUGAUAGUGAGUACCCGUUUCUUCAAAGAUAUUUAUUAAUUUAAUCAGCUAUAGACACUAUUUUAUAAAUUAAUGUCAUGUUUCCAUUGUUAUGGGGCGUUAAGACCUAAACUCGCUGGGUUAAGAUAGUGCACUCGGCGCAUUCACCUCAGUUUAUAUUAUUGAAAUUGCAGUGAAGUUUUGCUGUAGUAUGUCCAUCCGUGUAGCCUCAAUUGUUUUUCAGACAUCAUGUAGCUGUAAGGCUGAUGAUAAGUUAUUAGAUAUGAAUAUAAUUCUGUAUAUGAAUAUAUUGCAAUUGUAUAGUAUUGUAUGUCGUAGUUUGUUAGUGCAUAACUGUCAAUACAUGUUCUAAUUGUUUCUUUAUUAUUGUAGAUCCACCCUCACCGGUUAAUCUACCUUUUCACAAUAAACCCUUGAAUUGAUUCUGAAUGCUGUAUCCAGUGAUACACACCAGAUACACACCAGAAGAUAGGUUUUAGAAUAUUCUUACACUUUCUACAUAUUUAACAUAGUCUGGUUGUAUAUACUGUACAAAUAUAUGGUGGUCAUUACAUACACUGCAGAAUCUGGAAAAUGUCGAACAUUUAAGAAAGGCAAGAAUUUUGUAAACAAAGGUUUGUUUUUAAUUUUGCCCUGAGCUUGAUUGGCCUGGACUGUCCACUGAUAGUAAUAACGAUCACAUUGUCCCCUAUCCAGCGCUUACUAUAUUAGCCACAAACAUUUAAACAGUGAUGCGCAAAGAAGUGAACACGUUGCAUUUCUACCACUAACCUAACCCAUUUAAUUAAUGUGAAAUUGAACAUGUACUAUCCAACAUCUAUUUGCAGAAAUAACAGAUAUUUAAACACUUUAAACCUAUAAACUCUUAAUGAUGUUUCAGAACUACCAAACUGAAUAACAGAUCUGAGUACAAACAUCAUCAAGCCCAACUUACAGUUUUAGACUCUCCAAACAGGACUAAGAACACAAAGGUCGUCAUACAACUCCCAGAAACAUGGAGGCCUCCUACAGUAGGCCACAUAAUGUCCAAGAGCAUCCUGGGUUAAGCCUCCUCUGAAAGCAAUUACGGCCCUUAAGGUAAAUCUCUUUCCUUGGAGCAUCAGACUGGAAGGAAAUUCACACAAAGGAAAUUCUGUGGAGUUGCUGUUUCCCAGAAGGACACUGUGUUGGAUUUCGGAUGGGCCUGAGGCAGGGGGAUUCUGGAUGGUUAAGGCCUUCUUCCACUGCUGUCUGAAGAUGAGCCAUACCAGAAGCCUGCAGUACAGCAACAGAAGGGGAAACAAAUGGAAUUUCCCUUGUUACCUGUUUAUUGAGAGCGCAGUACUGAGAGGAGCAAUGUUUUGAGAAGAUUGAUCUGCUUGGAGCCAUUCAGGACAAGUGUCAGACUGUGCAGAAGAGGCAGCAUCCAUUUCUGGUUUUCCAUCUACAUUGCAAGUUGUGCUGAACUAGCAGUGACGUUGGUGCUACGGAAGUGAGGGAUCAUUACCCCUGUCCAGAGUGGUAAGUAACUUGCAAGCCAGAUUAUAUUAGGAAUAAUCUCAGGGAGGAAGUGCAUAUUAUCACGAUCACCAUUAGCCACAGCAAGUGACCUGCUCUCCUCACAUAUGUCUGUAACCCACUGCUUUAGGUCUGUCUGUGUUUGGUCACAUGGAUCCAGUUCGUCCAGGUCCUCACCCUCUACAUCUGGAAUGAUCACACACUCUUCUGCAAUUCGGGCUUUCAGUCCCACUGGCAGAUCAUCUUGAUGCAGUGUGCCACAUCAACCCGUACAAAACAAGAUGGCACUUUUGCUGACUGUUUCCCAACAUUUGCAGCACUGGGACACCUCUGCUUUCGUCAACUGCCAGAAUGCCCUGAUAUAAAAAGAUAUGACCAGACAUACCAUUUGGUUUCUGUAGUUUCCUCACUACUGAGCCAGUUGCAUCAAAACUCACAGUGGGGGUGGCCAGAUUAGGCAGAUGGCUCGGCUCGGGAUCACCAAACUCCAUCAGUUUUGUUGCCUCUGAUGCCCUCCAUACAUGGGGUUCCAUUCUACCCUCACAUAGUUCUUUGGAUAUCUGCACACGCAAUUGCCCAGAAAUUGCACGCUUGGGACAGCCAGUGUGCAGGGUGUCAUCAGUGUUUGUGACAAAACACUUGAGCACCAUCGGGGUGUUCAUUUCAGGCUCUCGGUCACAUUUUAUUAGAAUGUUGGCAUGACACUCCUUACAGUCGCCUCUGAUUUCGAUGUAUUUCUCUCUGUCUGAUGGGUAGACCUUAGCUCUUUUAAAGGCAAAUGUGCAAGAGCUCUUCACUUCUUGCCAGAUAUGAGAAUUUAUCACAUGCGUCCAGAUGCCAGGUUUCAAAAUUGUAUAUUCUUUUUUUUGUGUUUUAGAGAACUUGUUUUUGUACUCAACUUUUUCAGGCAUGAAUUCAAUCCAUUUCUGAAAUGGAACUUGAAGAUCAAAAGUCCAGCAGUCUUUUGGUCUGGGGGAAAAAGACCCUGGCUCAAAGUCAGUGUCAUCACUACUGACACUUGUUUCAUGCUCACUUUCACAAGUAUGCCCUAAAGCAGUCCAGAUGUUGUGUCUGUUUAAUUUCACAAAAGUGUAUAGAGCCUUUGGGGUGAUCUUGUUUUCUACCUGCUCACUAAGCUCUGUCCAGAUUCUCUGAUUAGGAGUAGCUAUGUUGCCAUAUUGUACUAUUGCCUCUCUUGAUGAACACAGGACUGUGAACAUGGAAUCCCUGUCAACUGCUGGUUUCUUGGGCAUCUGGUAUAAGCAAAAUGAAAUUACCCACAUAUCCUGACUAUAAGGUCAUUCAUAGCAUAGACGUAUUUUCAUGGAUAACUGUAUUGGUCAGAAUAUUAGGAUAAUAUAAUGUACUAACAAUAAAUGUGAACCUCCUUUUGAAAACCAGGCUAAAGUCUCAUAAACAAUGAGGUCCUGAGCAAAAAAAAAGAUUUUAACUAUUAUUUUCAAAUUGUGAUUUGGAAAUUGUGAACUGGUUAAUUAAAUAUAUCAAUGUUAUAUUUUCACAGAAUGCUUAUUGAAAGAUAUGAAGAUAUUUUCACACACUGUUCUUUACAUUAUGUAGGAUGAUUUUAUGAAUAAACAGCAAACCACCCAAAAAUGACUAAAAUGACAAUGACUGAAAAAAUAACUUUAACUCUGUUUUCACUGGCAGGGUUAAACAUAAGAAUAUUAUAUGGCCCUUUCUGUAAAAACAGAGCUGAAGUGUUUUGUAUGUGAUUUGCUGUUUUUAACAUGAAAUCAUCCUACAUAAUGUUAAGAACAGUGUGUGAAAAUACCUUCAUAUCUUUAAAAUCGACUAAGUAAUACCAUAACACAAAUUGAAAUCUUAGUGAAAAUGAAUGGUUGAAAUCAAACUUUGUUGCUCAUGAUCUUAUAGGCUAUGAGACUUGAGCCUGGGGUCACAAUUUAGAGACGUGUAGCUGUAAUUAGCAUUUCAUGACGGAUACUGAUAUUAGCAAGGAGUUUUUGGUUGAAUAAAUAUUGACAAUCGAA